rnacentral:rRNA from 1 species
AGAGUUUGAUCAUGGCUCAGAACGAACGCUGGCGGCGUGCCUCAUACAUGCAAGUCGAGCGAGAAAGCUCCCUUCGGGGAGCGAGUAAAGCGGCGCACGGGUGAGUAACACGUGGGCAAUCUACCCUUGAGUAAGGAAUAACCCGGGGAAACUCGGGCUAAUACCGGAUAUGCCUACGAAGUCUUUGGACUUUGUGGGGAAAGGUGGCCUCUCCAUGGAAGCUGCCGCUCGAGGAUGAGCCCGCGGCCCAUUAGCUAGUUGGUGAGGUAACGGCUCACCAAGGCCGAGAUGGGUAGCUGGUCUGAGAGGAUGACCAGCCACACUGGAACUGAGACACGGUCCAGACUCCUACGGGAGGCAGCAGUAGGGAAUUUUGCGCAAUGGGCGCAAGCCUGACGCAGCAACGCCGCGUGUGGGAUGAAGGCUUUCGGGUCGUAAACCACUGUCGGAGGGGAAGAAAAGCUUUGCGGUCAAUACCCGCGAAGCCUGACGGUACCCUCAAAGAAGAC